UCAGUAAGAUGCCAGAGGUUGUCCCAUUUACACAGUUUAACACCUCAGCAGAACAGCAAAGUGCCCUCUUGCAAACUACAACCAUCACCGACUUUAGCCUGAUUUCUACAAUUUUUACUGUAAAAUAUUUUAUGCUGAAGACAAAAGGCAUCAAGAGGUCUGUUUGCUCAUGGGGCAAACACAAGUUCUGAAUUUGUAAUUUGCAAAAAUGUGGCACAAUCAAGAGAACACACUCUCUUCAGGUCAUUGACCAGGUCCUCCCGUGUAGUUCUGGGCUGAUUCCUGACCUU